rnacentral:rRNA from 1 species
UACGUAGGGGGCAAGCGUUAUCCGGAUUUACUGGGUGUAAAGGGAGCGUAGACGGCUGUGCAAGCCAGAUGUGAAAGCCAGGGGCUCAACCCCGGGACUGCAUUUGGAACUGCGUGGCUUGAGUGUCGGAGAGGCAGGCGGAAUUCCUAGUGUAGCGGUGAAAUGCGUAGAUAUUAGGAGGAACACCAGUGGCGAAGGCGGCCUGCUGGACGAUGACUGACGUUGAGGCUCGAAAGCGUGGGGAGCAAACAGG